AACGAACGCUGGCGGCAGGCUUAACACAUGCAAGUCGAACGAGAUCUUCGGAUCUAGUGGCAGACGGGUGAGGAACACGUGGGAACAUCCCUUUCAGUUCGGAAUAACGUUGGGAAACUAACGCUAAUACCGGAUACGUCCUUCGGGAGAAAGAUUUAUCGCUGAAAGAUUGGCCCGCGUCUGAUUAGCUAGUUGGUGAGAUAACGGCUCACCAAGGCUACGAUCAGUAGCUGAUCUGAGAGGAUGAUCAGCCACAUUGGGACUGAGACACGGCCCAAACUCCUACGGGAGGCAGCAGUGGGGAAUAUUGGACAAUGGGCGCAAGCCUGAUCCAGCCAUGCCGCGUGAGUGAUGACGGCCUUCGGGUUGUAAAGCUCUUUUGUCCGGGAAGAUAAUGACUGUACCGGAAGAAUAAGCCCCGGCAAACUUCGUGCCAGCAGCCGCGGUAAAAC
rnacentral:rRNA from 1 species